rnacentral:tRNA from 1 species
GCCCAGCUGGCUCAGUCAGGAGAGCAUGUGACUCUUAAUCUCGAGGUUGUAAGUUGAAGCCCCACGUUGGGUA